rnacentral:rRNA from 1 species
AUUGAACGCUGGCGGCGUGCUUAACACAUGCAAGUCGAUCGGUAACAGGUGUAGCAAUACAUGCUGACGAGAGGCGGACGGGUGAGUAAUGCUUGGGAAUCUGCCUAUUAGUGGGGGACAACCCGGGGAAACUCGGGCUAAUACCGCAUACGCUCUACGGAGGAAAGCCGGGGACCGCAAGGCCUGGCGCUAAUAGAUGAGCCCAAGUCGGAUUAGCUAGUUGGUAGGGUAACGGCCUACCAAGGCGACAAUCCGUAGCUGGUCUGAGAGGACGACCAGCCACACCGGAACUGAGACACGGUCCGGACUCCUACGGGAGGCAGCAGUGGGGAAUAUUGGACAAUGGGGGCAACCCUGAUCCAGCGACGCCGCGUGGGUGAAGAAGGCCUGCGGGUUGUAAAGCCCUUUCGGUGGGAAGAAAAGUCUCGACCUAAUACGUCGGGACCUUGACCGUAACCCACUAAAGAAGCACCGGCUAACUCUGUGCCAGCAGCCGCCGUAAC